rnacentral:tRNA from 1 species
GCCGUCAUAGCUCAGUUGGUAGAGCGCAUCCAUGGUAAGGAUGAGGUCUCGGGUUCGAUUCCCGAUGUCGGCUCAA